AGUCUGAAGAGCGUCUUUCCUUCAGCUACCCAGGCAUGAGGAUGCAGACAUUUGCCACCAGACUGUUUCUGAAGGUGUGCCAACAGCCACAGCCCAGAGAGCCCUGGGAGCAACGUUAGAGCUUGUAGGAGCAUCCCCGAUGCCAAUGUGUGACCUUGCUAAGGGCUGCAGUUAAUGCAGAUUCAACAAAUAAAUAAACAUUUGCAAUAGGUUCAGACGUGACCUCAUCCCAACGGUGAUCACUAACAGAAUUAUUGACCUGACCGUUUGCUGCUGGAGAAUUUUGGAAAUGCCAGGUUCAUUACAGCCCUGCUUAUUGCCAGGAAGCAUUACAGCUUUGUGCUCGCAGCAGCUUUAAAGGCAGAUGAAAGCCAUAACGCCGGGUCACCCCAGAGACACACCAAGUGCAUCAUCUCAGGUGACCUUUGGGGCUGGGAAGAAGCUGCAGUUUCCCACUAGCAUCCAUGAGUCAACACGAGCAUCAAGUCACAGCAGCACGCCGAACCUCAUUUAUCAUUCCAUUUAAGGUGUCAGCAGAGCCAUUAUUCAAAUGAAUGGCCACGCAUGCAAUCAAUCUUUAAUGAAACAAUAAUUGCACCUUCCACUCUGCAAGACCUCUGCCUUUCUUAAAGGUAUCCUGUGUAUUAAUUAUUGAAAAUGUCUGUGUUUUACCAGCAGUAAGUUAUGUUUCACCAAUUGCCAUCUUUCAAGAGAGUUUUAACUGGGAAAUUUAUGACUCUCGAUUUCGCUAAGGAAAAAAUAAACAGCAGAUACUG